rnacentral:rRNA from 1 species
UGGGGAAUAUUGGACAAUGGGGGCAACCCUGAUCCAGCAAUUCCGCGUGUGUGAAGAAGGCCUGCGGGUUGUAAAGCACUUUCAGUAGCCAAGAUGGGAUUAUUCGCUAAUAUCGAAUAAUCUUGACAUUAACUACAGAAGAAGCACCGGCUAACUCCGUGCCAGCAGCCGCGGUAAUACGGAGGGUGCAAGCGUUAAUCGGAAUUACUGGGCGUAAAGAGUACGUAGGCGGCUUUGCAAGUCGGGUGUGAAAGCCCUGAGCUUAACUCAGGAACUGCAUUCGAUACUGCAUCGCUAGAGUUUAUUAGAGGAUAGCGGAAUUCCAGGUGUAGCGGUGAAAUGCGUAGAUAUCUGGAGGAACACCAAUGGCGAAGGCAGCUAUCUGGGAUACAACUGACGCUGAGGUACGAAAGCGUGGGGAGCAAACAGG